UCCCAUGGCAGCCCCAGUCCCACUGCCACGUGUCCUGGCUCUCAGGACAGCGGGGCCUGAGCAGCUACAGCUGCACACAAACACUGGAAUGAGCAAAGGGGCACUAAAGGAUUCCCUGAUCACCACCCCACAUGUGUGCUGUGCCCACAGCUUUCCUGAGGGCUGCAGAUCCAUGGCCCAAUCGUUUCAUCAGCUCAGCUUCCACAGUGCAGGGAUGAUGUGUGAGACAGCCCUGCUCUCAGAAAGCACAGAAUCCUGGAAUGUCCUGAGCUGGAGGGACCCACAGGGAUCAUCCCAACCCCUGUCCCUGCCCAGACCCCAACAACCUCACCCUGGGCAUCCCUGGCAGCGCUGUCCAAACUCUCCUGGAGCUCUGGCAGCCUCGGGGCCAGAAAAAGGAGAAACUCCUGUGCCCUCUAAAAUGAACUGCAACACAAAAAGAGAACUGGAUCUCUUGGGAACACCAGCCUGGCUGAAAAGCUCCCAACACCCCCAUGUUUUAUCCAGCUCCAGAGCAGGAGCAGCCACGUCCCUGCCACAGCUGACACCUGGAGCGGGUCACAGCCCAGUGCAGUAAAAUAUUCACAUUUAAAGCAAAGAGCAUGAAACAGUAGAAAUCUUUCCAAAGCUUAAAUAAAUGUUACUUUGACUGAAUGGA